rnacentral:rRNA from 1 species
GACGAACGCUGGCGGCGUGCUUAACACAUGCAAGUCGAACGGAAAGGCCCUGCUUUUGUGGGGUGCUCGAGUGGCGAACGGGUGAGUAACACAUGAGUAACCUGCCCUUGACUUUGGGAUAACUUCAGGAAACUGGGGCUAAUACCGGAUAGGAGCUCCUGCUGCAUGGUGGGGGUUGGAAAGUUUCGGCGGUUGGGGAUGGACUCGCGGCUUAUCAGCUUGUUGGUGGGGUAGUGGCUUACCAAGGCUUUGACGGGUAGCCGGCCUGAGAGGGUGACCGGCCACAUUGGGACUGAGCUACGGCCCAGACUCCUACGGGAGGCAGCAGUGGGGAAUAUUGCACAAUGGGCGGAAGCCUGAUGCAGCAACGCCGCGUGCGGGAUGACGGCCUUCGGGUUGUAAACCGCUUUCGCCUGUGACGAAGCGUGAGUGACGGUAAUGGGUAAAGAAGCACCGGCUAACUACGUG